CUCAUCAAGAGCAAUUGAGGGACUGGCCCGAUGACAUUGCGGCAACCAUUGAUAAUUCAUCAAAACGGUGCCAAAUCCUUUAAGUUUAAACUUAGAAGAUGAGA
rnacentral:ncRNA from 1 species